CGUCCCUAGAUUUGCCACCUAAUGCCACUCUUUGCCACUUAUUUCCAUGAAAAAAGGGUGGCAGUUGGUGUAAAUAGGUGGCAUUAGUUGGCGUUUGGUGUAAUUCAGCUCUUUUUUCCACCUAAGUGGUAAAUUUGCCACCAAAAGCCACUUUAUUUUGGUGGCAUUUAGGUGGCAUUAGGUGUAAAUUUGAACAUAGUUUUUCUUUAUGGUGGCAGAAAGGUGUAAAUUGGUGGAAAGUAGAACAUAGCUUUUUUUUAUGGUGGAAAUUGAGUGGCGUUUAGUGGAAAAUAGGGACUUAGCAAAUUUUCUUGGUGGCGAAUAGGUGGAAAAAAAACUUAGAAAUUUUUGUGAUGUUUGAUUUAAAAGAGAACUGUAAGACAUUGGAUUACCGUGUACAAAAAUCUUCACAUGGACUCAGGUUGGAAUCAAGGUAUAAUGCUAAACUUCAAACUUCAGGCCUAAUUGACACGGAACCUGACUUUGCUAAAACUCUACAUUGACAACAGCUCGUAGAACACAAAAUGCUCCCUGCCCCCUUGAUACAUUCAGUUACUGUACAAGAAACAGAAAUCACUUGGUCACUGUGCACUGGACAUUUGAUGUACUACCUUUAAACCAAUAAUUAUAGGUCAUUUACCAGUCAUAAGUGACUUCUGUAUCAAAUGUGAUCUUAGACAAAAGCAUUCUCUAGUUCUUGGGCAAAAAAAGUUCUAAUGUUCUGGGUCAAUGUAACCUAGACCUUUGACCAUCGACUGACCUCAAAAUCAGUAGGGGUCGUCUACCGUUCAUGAUCAACCUCCCUAUUUAGUUUCAUGAUCCUAGGUCAAAGAGUUCUCAAAUUAACAUCUGGAAACAGCUUAACUGUUCCAGCUCACUGUGACCUUGACCUUUGACCUACUGAACUAAAAAUCUUUAGGAGUUAUCUGCUAGCUAUGUUCAACCUUCCCAUUUACUUUCAUGAUCCUAGGCUCAAGAGUACUAGAGUUAUCAUCUGGAAACUGUUUAACUGUUCAAGGUCACUGUGAUUUUGACCUUUGACCUACUGGCCUCCAAGUCAAUAUGGUCACUGCUGGUCAUGACCAACCUACAUAUAAAGUUUCAUGAUCUUAGGCCCAAGCGUUCUUGAGUUAUCAUCUGGAAACCGAUUGGUCUACAUACCAAAUGACCGACAGACUGACCAACAUCUGCAAAACAGUAUACCCAGGCUCCUUCUUCAAAGGGUUUCAUUAAAAUGAGAAUAAGUCUAUGCUGACUGUAGCUGGACAAAAAUAAUAUUCAGAGUGGUAUACAGAAAAUUUGAAUUUUUGUUAUUUUGUGAGACAGAAUAUUUAUUACUUAUUAUAUCUUUGCAUUAUAUUCAAUGAAAGGCAGAAAAAGGUGGAAAAUAGGUGGCAACUAGUGGAAAUUGGCUGUACUAGCUGAAUCUGAAAAGAUCUUUUUAAAUGUGUCUGCAGUGUAUUAUUUCUGCAUGAGUGAAAGUUGGUUAAAGAUAAGAUUAAUGAUAGAUCAAGUUACAAGCUCCCACACAAGUGUAUAGAAACAAUCCCAGGUGGAAUUUGGGUCAGUUAAGAUUUAUAUAUGCAGGCAAACAUCAGGUCAGAUGCAAAGAAAUAGUUCUUGCCUUUUCUCUUCAUUAAUUGAAAAAAAAGAAGUGUUUAUAAAAAGGAUGUUUUUACAAUAGCUUUUCAACUUAAGGACUUGACACCUUCUUUAGCUGACCAAGAAAGUGUAUGUGUGGAAUCAAUUUAUCUAUGUAGUAAUACCAAAUUUUGAAAUCUGGCAUUUGAUGAGUCAGCCAGGGAGAAAAUGGAAACACAUUGUGAGAGGUUCCUUCUGUGAAAAAAGUGCAACUUUGUGACAUGAUACGCCUUCCUGACUGUAUAUACCUGGGCAGCAUACAGCUUAUUGCGGCAUAAAAGAAACAUAUCAAGAUAAUUUUGAAUCGGAUUGUGUGCUGGAAAAAUGGCCUUACAUCCAAAGGAGUGAAAUUUGGAGAGUCAUUUGCCAUCUACUUAAGCCAUCCUGGAAUAUGAAGAAAUAAGACUGCUUUGACAACAUCCUGAUCCUCGUGUUCAGAUCUUUUGUGAUUUCUUGUGAAGAGUCUUUGAUUUUUCAUAAAAAUAAAAAUUAUAUUAAUAUAA